CAGUCGCCGCGGUAAUACGAAGGGUGCAAGCGUUACUCGGAAUUACUGGGCGUAAAGCGUGUGUAGGUGGUGGUUUAAGUCCGUUGUGAAAGCCCUGGGCUCAACCUGGGAAUUGCAGUGGAUACUGGGUCACUAGAGUGUGGUAGAGGAUAGUGGAAUUUCCGGUGUAGCAGUGAAAUGCGUAGAGAUCGGAAGGAACAUCUGUGGCGAAGGCGACUAUCUGGGCCAACACUGACACUGAGGCACGAAAGCGUGGGGAGCAAACAGGAUUAGAUACCCCAGUAGUCCCUGUCUCUUAUAA
rnacentral:rRNA from 1 species